GCUCGGGGCGGCCGUGGGGAGCGGCUGAAGUGCUGCAGAGCUCGGCCUGCACGGAAAGGCCGCUUCCUGCUCCGAGUCGCUGGCUCAGGGGUGACGGGAAACUUCAGGCUUUCGAUCCUGUGUCGCUCACGCGAGGAGCUCUGUUACAGUGGAAGGGCUGGAUGUAGCUGCUCCAGGCGCUGCUGAGUUCGGGACCUGCGAGGCGUUCAGCAAGGAUUUCUUCUGACAGAGAAAGGAAAAGCGAGUUAAAUGAAACCUGCAGUAAGGACCAUAAGCAUUUGAUUAAGAGGCACGCUCACCUGCUGCUCUGAACAUUUAAUCUCAAGGAGCUGUGAAAAAGCUUUACUAGCAUUGACUCUGUUAUCUCAGCUCUUCCUGCAGCGUUCUGAUCCUUACUUGGUAACUUCUUUGGCCAGUUCAAAAAAAUAGAGCAUGUGCUUUCCCUCACCACACUGUGUUUUUCCAGGAAGGUUUAUUGGUCAGGAACAGAACAGUGACAACGUUUGGGCAUAGGCUGGCCCUGAGUACGUGUAGGCUGUCAGUUAGACUACCAGCCACGGUAGCAGGCGAUGAGGCCCCUGGGGCGCAGCACCAGCCGGCAGCAGUUGAGCAGCGCACAAGGAGCGGUGCUUCUAGGGGAAAGAAGGAGGCUGCACGCUGCUAACUCGUGACCGCGGCACCGAACGACCCGGUCCCGGGCAUUCAGCGCACGUGACAGCAGCCGCCCGCUUGCCAGCGA